rnacentral:rRNA from 1 species
UGCUUUCCUUGAUGACGACUGGCGCACGGGUGAGUAACGCGUAUCCAACCUUCCCAUAACUACGGGAUAACCCGUUGAAAGACGGCCUAAUACCGUAUGACAUCGUUUGCUGACAUCAAAUAACGAUUAAAGGUUUAGCGGUUAUGGAUGGGGAUGCGUCUGAUUAGCUUGUUGGCGGGGUAACGGCCCACCAAGGCUACGAUCAGUAGGGGUUCUGAGAGGAAGGUCCCCCACAUUGGAACUGAGACACGGUCCAAACUCCUACGGGAGGCAGCAGUGAGGAAUAUUGGUCAAUGGGCGAGAGCCUGAACCAGCCAAGUAGCGUGCAGGAUGACGGCCCUAUGGGUUGUAAACUGCUUUUAUGUGGGGAUAAAGUGCGUGACGUGUCAUGCGUUGCAGGUACCACAUGAAUAAGGACCGGCUAAUUCCGUGCCAGCAGCCGCGGUAAUACGGGAGGUCCGGGCGUUAUCCGGAUUUAUUGGGUUUAAAGGGAGCGUAGGCUGUCUAUUAAGCGUGUUGUGAAAUUUACCGGCUCAACCGGUGGCUUGCAGCGCGAACUGGUCGACUUGAGUAUGCAGGAAGUAGGCGGAAUUCAUGGUGUAGCGGUGAAAUGCUUANAUAUCANNNCGAACUCCGAUUGCGCAGGCAGCUUACUGUAGCAUAACUGACGCUGAUGCUCGAAAGUGCGGGUAU